AUUUUUAUGGUGUAAAUAACACAUUGUCCUUUCAAGACAAAACUAAAUUAUUUUAAAAAUG
rnacentral:tRNA from 1 species